AGCGAACGCUGGCGGCAGGCUUAACACAUGCAAGUCGAACGGGCGUAGCAAUACGUCAGUGGCAGACGGGUGAGUAACGCGUGGGAACGUACCUUUUGGUUCGGAACAACCCAGGGAAACUUGGGCUAAUACCGGAUAAGCCCUUACGGGGAAAGAUUUAUCGCCGAAAGAUCGGCCCGCGUCUGAUUAGCUAGUUGGUGAGGUAACGGCUCACCAAGGCGACGAUCAGUAGCUGGUCUGAGAGGANGAUCAGCCACAUUGGGACUGAGACACGGCCCAAACUCCUACGGGAGGCAGCAGUGGGGAAUAUUGGACAAUGGGCGCAAGCCUGAUCCAGCCAUGCCGCGUGAGUGAUGAAGGCCCUAGGGUUGUAAAGCUCUUUUGUGCGGG
rnacentral:rRNA from 1 species